CCUACGGGUGGCAGCAGUGAGGAAUAUUGGUCAAUGGGCGCGAGCCUGAACCAGCCAAGUAGCGUGAAGGAUGACUGCCCUACGGGUUGUAAACUUCUUUUGUACAGGAAUAAAGUGAGGCACGUGUGCCUUUCUGUAUGUACUUUACGAAUAAGGAUCGGCUAACUCCGUGCCAGCAGCCGCGGUAAUACGGAGGAUCCAAGCGUUAUCCGGAUUUAUUGGGUUUAAAGGGAGCGUAGAUGGUUUGUUAAGUCAGAUGUGAAAGUUUGCGGCUCAACCGUAAAAGUGCCAUUGAUACUGGCAGCCUUGAGUGCAGUUGAGGUAGGCGGAAUGCGUGGUGUAGCGGUGAAAUGCUUAGAGAUCACGAAGAACUCCGAUUGCGAAGGCAGCCUACUAAGCUGCCACUGACAUUGAGGCUCGAAAGUGUGGGUAGCAAACAGGAUUAGAUACCCCAGUAGUC
rnacentral:rRNA from 1 species